GUACGGAGGGUGCGAGCGUUGUCCGGAAUCACUGGGCGUAAAGGGCGCGUAGGUGGCGGAGCAAGUCAACGGUGAAAGCUCGACGCUCAACGUCGAGUCGGCCGUCGAGACUGCUUUGCUCGAGCACUGUAGAGGGCAGAUGGAAUUCCGGGUGUAGCGGUGGAAUGCGUAGAGAUCCGGAAGAACACCGGUGGCGAAGGCGGUCUGCUGGGCA
rnacentral:rRNA from 1 species